GGAUGGCUCUCUGGAGAAUCCCGAAAAGGGUGCCGAAGGUGUAAGCAGACAGUGUCUGUGAAUCUCUCAGGCAAAAGGACAGUGAAGUUUUU
rfam:Lachnospiraceae bacterium CAG:364 genomic scaffold, scf218